rnacentral:rRNA from 1 species
CAGUCGAACGAGGGUCCUUCGGGACUCGAGUGGCGAACGGGUGAGUAACACGUAGGGAACCUGCCCGUGCGACCGGGAGAACUUUCGGAAACGGAAGCUGAUACCGGAUAGGGACAGAGACGGCAUCGACUCUGUGUUAAAGGAGCUGAAAGGCUCCGCGCACGGAUGGACCUGCGGUGCAUUAGCUAGUUGGUGAGGUAACGGCCCACCAAGGCGACGAUGCAUAGCCGGCCUGAGAGGGCGGACGGCCACACUGGGACUGAGACACGGCCCAGACUCCUACGGGAGGCAGCAGUAGGGAAUUUUCGUCAAUGGGCGCAAGCCUGAACGAGCAAUGCCGCGUGAACGAGGAAGGUCUUCGGAUCGUAAAGUUCUGUUGAAGGGGAAAAAGAGCGGAGAGAGGAAAUGGUCUCCGAUUGAUAUUACCCUUCGAGGAAGUCACGGCUAACUACGUGCCAGCAGCCGCGGUAAUACGUAGGUGGCGAGCGUUAUCCGGAAUGAUUGGGCGUAAAGGGUGCGUAGGCGGCCUGCUAAGUCUGGAGUGAAAGGUACCGGCUCAACCGGUACAGGCUCUGGAAACUGGCGGGCUAGAGAGCAGGAGAGGGCGGUGGAACUCCAUGUGUAGCGGUAAAAUGCGUAGAUAUAUGGAAGAACACCAGUGGCGAAGGCGGCCGCCUGGCCUGUUACUGACGCUGAGGCACGAAAGCGUGGGGAGCAAAUAGGAUUAGAUACCCUAGUAGU